GAUGAACGCUGGCGGCGUGCCUAAUACAUGCAAGUAGAACGCUGAAGGAAGGAGCUUGCUCUUUCCGGAUGAGUUGCGAACGGGUGAGUAACGCGUAGGUAACCUGCCUGGUAGCGGGGGAUAACUAUUGGAAACGAUAGCUAAUACCGCAUAACAGUAGAUGUUGCAUGACAACUAUUUGAAAGGGGCAAUUGCUCCACUACCAGAUGGACCUGCGUUGUAUUAGCUAGUUGGUGAGGUAACGGCUCACCAAGGCGACGAUACAUAGCCGACCUGAGAGGGUGAGCGGCCACACUGGGACUGAGACACGGCCCAGACUCCUACGGGAGGCAGCAGUAGGGAAUCUUCGGCAAUGGACGGAAGUCUGACCGAGCAACGCCGCGUGAGUGAAGAAGGUUUUCGGAUCGUAAAGCUCUGUUGUAAGAGAAGAACGAGUGUGAGAGUGGAAAGUUCACACUGUGACGGUAUCUUACCAGAAAGGGACGGCUAACUACGUG
rnacentral:rRNA from 1 species